AUAUUAUUUAUAAUUUAUUACUUUAAAAAAUAACUUCAGUAUUCUUAUCAUAAUGACAAUUCAAUAAAUCCUCACAUAGAAUUCAGGAGUGUUAACAUUAUAGUUUGUACUAAGAAACAGUUUUGUAAAAAUUCUUAAGCCAUUGUAUUUUUUGCAGUUCUGGGGAUCAACUCUACAGCCUUAAGCAUGCUGAGACCACAUGCUCUACUACUACCACUAAGCUACAUCCCCAGCUCAACCAUAUAUUUUUUAAACAUUCACAAUUUUUUAAAAUUCAGAAGGUAAAAUUUAAUAACUACUUUCAAUGUACAGUAAAAUUUAUUACACAGUUAAAUACCAGCUACUUGAAACAGAAUAAGAUAACAAUGUAUCUGCAAAUAAGUUCAAAUCCUAAAUGACAAAUAUUAUAAUUAAUGAUUGGGUAGUUUGUAAAUUAAUUACCAAAUUAAGAGACAAUCUUGACUGGCUACACAUUUUUUCAAACAAUACAAACAUAUUCCAGUUCAUAUAUUUUAACACCCAGGGGUAUUUGCCAUAUUAUAAAAUUAGUUCUAUUAUAAAUUUUCAGGAAUUCUUUCUAAUGUACCAAGAAAAAGCAGAAGUUAUUUUUUAAAAAUUUUUGAUAUAGAACAGUAUGAACCCAACAUAGAUAUCUUAAAUUAGACCAUUCCUUUGGCAGAGAACAUGUAAAUAUAAACAUCUUAAAAGAAAUACUAUCCAUAAGAUCACAGGAAAAAAAAGAACCACCUUGUAUUUCUUAACACUAAAAAAAGAUCAACAGAAAUUUAGCAUCAUUUUUAUACUAGCAAUAAUCACUGACACAAAUUCCUCAUAAAUGGGAAGAAAUAAAGUUCUUUUUAAGAGGAAACUUCUGCAUGUAUAAAAUUUCAGAUAAAUGCCAACAUACCCUAUUUAAAAUACGUGUUAUGUUUUAUGAUUCCAAAACGAUGUUACCUGAACUUAAUUGGCUGAUCCCAAUUUAGUGGAUAUUUAUGCUGAACUACAAUUCAGAUGACAAUUAAACAAAACUUAUUUAUACAAACAUUAAAAUAAAUUUACUAAGUACAGUUUAGAAGAAAAUGUAAGAUUCUGCAUAUAAAUGCAAAUAAUAUUAUUAAGAGCAGCUCUGGAUUUUUU
ensembl:lncRNA